GCUCAGGAUGAACGCUGGCGGCGUGCUUAACACAUGCAAGUCGAACGAAGCACUUUUAUCGAUUUCUUCGGAAUGAAGUUUUAGUGACUGAGUGGCGGACGGGUGAGUAACGCGUGGGUAACCUGCCUCACACAGGGGGAUAACAGUUGGAAACGGCUGCUAAUACCGCAUAAGCGCACAGUACCGCAUGGUACAGUGUGAAAAACUCCGGUGGUGUGAGAUGGACCCGCGUCUGAUUAGCUAGUUGGCAGGGCAACGGCCUACCAAGGCGACGAUCAGUAGCCGACCUGAGAGGGUGACCGGCCACAUUGGGACUGAGACACGGCCCAAACUCCUACGGGAGGCAGCAGUA
rnacentral:rRNA from 1 species